rnacentral:lncRNA from 1 species
AAAGAGUGAGAAUUUUUCAAUUAGAAAAGCUUAAAGAUAACAAGAAUCUGCAAAGUUGAAUGUAAAACUUACUCGAAACACAAAUUUUCCUGAGAAAAUUUUCAAAAAUCAAGAAAAUCAAGAAGUCUGAGAUUUUCUCGGGAAAAUCAAGAAGAGUGAGAAUUUGUCAAUUAGAAAAGCUUAAAGAUAACAAGAAUCCACACUCAUCGGUUACAAAACCACAAUUUUCCUGAGAAAAUGGAAAAGAAAAAAAAACAAGAGUCAAGAAAAUCAAGAAAAUCAAGAAGUCUGAGAUUUUCUCGGGAAAAUAAAGAACGAGUGACAAAUUUGUCAAGAAAACCUUAAGUUAACAAGAAUCAACAAACUCAUCGAUUACAAAACAACAAUUUUCCCGAGAAAAUGAAAGAAAAAGAAAAAAAAAACCGUCGGCAAAAGACAGAGGACACGUUUUCCGAGAAAGUAUCUGAGAAAAUAGUAAGUGAGUGAGAAAAAAACAGAUCGACUUGGUUUAAUAUAUAAGAAACAUUGGAUACCUUAACCUUCUUCUCCGACAACUUCGUUUCUAUAUGCACUAGAAUCCGGAAAAAAAUCGAGAGCAGAUCUGUAAUCAAUCACAUAAGUUUUAUAUAUUAUUAAUCAAUCUUCAUAUACACUUUACUUUAUACGAAUCUGACAAAAAUAAAAUUCUAUGCAUAGUAGUGUUUCUAUAUAAAGAUAGGGUAGAAGAAGAAUAUUUACGAGUCAAAAAGGAAUAAAAACAAAAAUAAAAGUAAAAGAUGAAUGAUGAAUGAUCACUUUAGUUUUUGUUUAUGUGACUUGUGUGAAUCUAUCUCUACUGCUUUUGAAAGAGUGGGAGACAAAGAGUUUUAGAAUGAGCAGAGGAGAUGUAGAUAGAUAAGUUAGUG